rnacentral:sRNA from 1 species
AUGACUGACCUGGAAGUAAGCGUCGAUGAUUUGGUGAAGCUCCUCUCACCGACUAUGUCGUAAGAACUGAGGUUAUUAUUCUUAAUUGAAAAUUCCAAUUCCAGAUUAAUUGUUCGUCGUAAAACAAUGGAAGUUGUCACUCAACUGGGUACACCGCUCGAUGGAUCUGCUGGAAAAUACUUCCAAGCUCAAGAUUUUGCUCUGGGAAAAGCGAUUUGUCAGUUAUGUGAAGCAACUUCUUCGGAUCGAACUGAAACUCUGGCAGCUCUCACAAACUUCACUUCUGGUUCCAUUGAAGCCGCUGAUUUUGUAUUGGAUAAAUCAAAAUGUGUGGAAAUUGCUUAUACUGCAGUUGUUACUAAUGUAAGGGAAUUUUAAAGUAAUAUUCAACGCUUUCAUAAUAUUACAUAGACGCGUAAUUUUGCGUUUUUUGCGCCAAAAAUACGGUACCCGGUCUCGCCACGACUUUUCAAAAUGCAGAAUAUGUGCGCCUCAAAAAACUGUAAUUUCAAACUUUCGUUUGCUGCGAAAAUUUAUUCACAAACUUGUUAAUAUCAGUGUUUAAAUAUUUUUUUUUUUAAAACAAAUUUUUAUUCAAAAACGAAGAAAAUUCCGCAGAAACGAGAUUUUGAAGUAGUGUUUAAAGGUGCGCAUCCGUUUGAAUUUAAGAAAAAAAAUGUCGCUUCGAGACCGGGUACCGUAUUUUCUGCGCAAAAAUUGUGAAAUUUCGUUUCUGGUUAAUAUAAAUACAAUAAGAAUAUAGAGAAAGACUAAUAUUUUGGAUAAAAAGAACGAGUGGUAACCUUAUACCAUAAGUAGUAGUUGUGUCAAGUACUCGUAAUCCCCCGACUUUAAGUGUUUUUCUUUCAGGCCUUGUAUUCGUCAGUUGCCUCUCGUCUGCUUGUCAAUGUUUCCCGCCAUUUCCCAGAUCGUGUUGAUCAUAAGUUGAAAGCACGAAAUGCGAAUUAUAUUGGACAACUGCUCAG